rnacentral:lncRNA from 1 species
ACCUCACUUUAAAAAGUAAAAUAUAAUUUACUUGCCAAAAAAAGUGGAAAAAGAGAAAACCAAAGUCCCAAACUUACCUAAUUCUUCAGGUUUUGCAUUAAAUUCGCGAGUUCUUGAUAUAGAGUAAGUCCCACCAUUUUUGUCUGUUCACAAGAAAUUAAAUUGCUUACUCUCUUAUCAACUUACUCCCUUCUUUUUCUAAUGCUAUGACACUAAU